AUUUAAUUGUGCAAUUCAAUUUAAUUUGAUAAGUUUUAUCUUACUUUUUUUAUUUUUUUAUUUUGAGAAAUAUCUU
rnacentral:tRNA from 1 species